CGCUCGAGUAAGACGGGCUGGGCCGAUGGGCCACGUUAUUUUAUACAAGAUUUUAGUUUUCAAUAACGUUCUUCAAUUACAUUUCCUGGCACCGAUUUGGUCUCUUUCUAUAUUUCCAGCUGCAACGUGCUUCAGCAGUUAGUACACUUGGUGGCGGAUGAUGCAGCCCUACUGAUCAGGUUCUUGUGAGCAGCUGUUGAAAUAACGAAAAAAAAAUCAUUAGCACAUAAUUAAUUUCACAUUUUUUUUUCCUGGAUGUGAAAUGGUUACUUUCAAAGGGAUCGAUUCCAUCAAUUAUGAGAAAAAAUGUCAAAAUUGAAACUUAAACUUGAUAAUCCUUCCAAUGAAGAUCAGUUUGCCUCGAACAAUUGUGAUGAAUAAUCUGAGCAAUUACAGUUAAAACUCAAAAUAGCACAAAGCCUACAACGUAGUUGAACUUUUACAAAUACGUGAAAAAUAAUAAUGAACAAGUCUUCAUGAUAAUAAAGCAAACUACACAGUUACUUCUUCAAAACAACGAAUUUGGAAUUUGCUCCAGGUGUGAUAAACUUACUUCUGUAAGCAGAACAUUUUUGAAAAUGAAAAACGAAAAAUAAUUAUUCUUUUUUUUUCAUUCAAAUCGACGUUGAAAACAAUACAUUAGUUUGUUGUAAGCGGAAACAAUAGAUGCAAUUAGUUCAAGAGUUUA